rnacentral:lncRNA from 1 species
UCACCGUAAUUUUCCACAUCAGAAAGCAUAGAAACCUGCAAGCAAUGGGGCUCAGGCCAAAUAAGCUGGAGAGGAAUUUGAAUGCAGGAAGGAGAGGGGCAGUUAGCUUUGUUCUUUUGAGAUAAUCCUUAAGGUCAAAUAGUGGAGAGAUGGUAGAAGAAAGGAUUUGACAGAGAAGGGAACUUGGUUCUCACAUGGAAAACUAUAGCCUUAUUUUAUUUUUUCUUUAGGUCACGCAUCAAGACAAUUCAAGUAAAAGUUGAAUAGUUCUAGAGCUCUGAGAGGAAAAGCCCCUCUCUUCACUUUUGAACGAAACAGCAUUUUUAGUACUCCUGCAAAUAAAACAGUAGAAAGAAAAAGUUUUGAGAUGCAUGGAGAUGUAACAGCUGUAAAGCGUUGUUGGUAUGAUGCUGUUAUCUUUCUGAACUGGCAAAACCUGGUGGUGAGUGGUGAUUUAGGCUUUGAUUUGUAGCACCUGUGCUAUGCAGGUGAUGGCAUCCAAGCAGGGGGAACACCUGUGAGCUGCUUGCAUGCCAUAGGAAGGUUUUGCUCCCUCAUUUGAGAAUGUGUGGGGGUAAGCAUAGGUCUGCUCUGUGUGAGUUUUCUUCAAAGCAGCAUACUAGUUCUUGGUUUUGUGGUUAUUUUAGUUUUCCUACACUGCAAAGCUAAGAGAGAAGCUGACCUCUGAUGAGCAGCAGCAUGCGGUUUCCUGUGCUGUGUAAUGGAGGAAAACAUGCUAUGAAGAGAAUGUUGGACACCCUGCAUAUUCAGAGAAGAGGAGCCAGCUGUAAUAUAUCUCACUGUACAAAAACGUGAAGAUCGACAGGACACAAAUGCUAAACAAAUACUUCACUACUGUUUUAAGGGCUUUAAUGAGACCUCUUUUGCUGUGAUUGGUGCCUCAGCAGUGUUUUGCUAACAAGGAUAAUGUUGUUGGCCGGUAGUAAUGAACUGUGAGUUGAUUACAGAGCUACCUGAUCUCAGGAUGACUGUGGACACUUGUGCAUAGGAGACAGCUUGCCAUCUCUGGCAAAUAUGAGGUAGCCAGGAAAAAUGCUUAGAAGGAUUUCUUCACAGCUUGCCUGAAGGGGGAAGCAAAGACAAAUGUGUUACUGUACCUG